UCCAGCAGCCAUAUCACUCUGCAGCUCACAACUGGCAACCCAAUGAAGCUAAGCAGGUGUGAGCCUGAUCAGUACCUGGAUGGGAGUCCUCCUGGGAAAAACUAAGGUUGCUGCUGGAA
rnacentral:rRNA from 1 species